rnacentral:ncRNA from 1 species
GGGGACCACCCCGUAAGGCUAAAUACUACUUAGUGACCGAUAGCGCAUAGUACUGUGAAGGAAAGGUGAAAAGGACCCCGGGAGGGGAGUGAAAGAGAACCUGAAACCAUAUGUUUACAAGCUGUGGAAGCACUUUUGUAAGUGCGACCGCGUACUUUUUGUAGAACGGUCCGGCGAGUUACGCCGGCUGGCAAGGUUAAGGGCUUUAAAGGCCCGGAGCCGAAGGGAAACCAAGUCUGAAUAGGGCGAGCACAAGUCAGUCGGAGUAGAC